rnacentral:misc_RNA from 1 species
AUGCGAAAAGUAGUGUGAAUUGCAGAAUUCAGUGAAUCAUCGAAUCUUUGAACGCACAUUGCGCCCCUUGGUAUUCCAUGGGGCAUGCCUGUUCGAGCGUCAUUUUGUACCCUCAAGCACUGCUUGGUGUUGGGCGUUUGUCCUGCAAAGGACUCGCCUGAAAGCGAUUGGCGGCCAACGUACUGGUGGUAGAGCGCAGCACAAUUUGCGUCUCUCCCUGCUACGUCGGCGUCCAUGAAGCCCAUUUUCAACGUUUGACCUCGGAUCAGGUAGGGAUACCCGCUGAACUUAA